AAUAGGUCUUGUUCUCAUCCUUUCUGCUCAUUUUGUUUUUUUCUUUUAGAGCUGGGAUUUUGCUGUGUUGCUCAGGCUGGACUUGAACUCCUGAGUUCAAGCCGUCCUCCUGUCUCAGCCUCUUGAGUAGCCAGGACUGCAGGACUGAUCUUCCUGCCUCAGCCCUCUGAGUAGUUAGGGCUGCAUGCCACCAUACCCAGCUGCUCCUGCUCAUGUUAACAGCUCCUUUCUGCCUGAGACCCCAGACAGCCCGAGUCUUCUGUGGGUCUUCAGGGGCCCAGCUAUGAAGGACCCCAGGAGGAAAUGCAGGAAAGACAAGUAGAUGCAGAGAACAGUUGCAGAGCCAUGACACCCUGUUGACUUGGGAGGUGAGUCUUAUUUCCUCUGGGCUUGUGGGUAUUCCCAUUGACCACUUAACUGUCUGCCUUUGUUAAAUAUAUUUGGGUGGAGGAUGUUGUCUUCAAAACCCUAGGAUUUCACGGAUAGGGAGGCACUGAGCUAGUGGGAAUAAUAUUCUGGCUGCAUUGACUGAUUCGUCACUUACACAGAGUCAAGGAAACCCCCAGGCCUGGGCAGCAAAUGGUGUGUAUUAGGAGCUAAGGCAGGACAUGACCAGGUCCUCAUUUCCCCUUCUGUCUCCCCAAGAAGCCCACUCUUAAGAGUUAAGCCAUGAGCUUGCCAUAAAGUAAACCUAGAGAAACUCAAAAAAUGGAGACUGGAUUGCAAACGUGAUCUCAGGUUAAUGUUCCAGGGAGUUCAGUGAGUCAUGUCAAAAAUGAGAGAUGGGAAAAUGUUAGCCUGAGAUUUGGAGUUCAAAGCCCAACAUGGCAGCUGUGUGACCUCAGGCAAGUUGUGGCAUCUCUCUGGCCCUCAAUUUCCUCAUCCAUAAAAUGGAAGCAAUAUCAUGGAUUCGUGGGUUUGUUGUGAUAUAUUAUUAUCAUGACAUAGAUGAAUAAAUAGAUGAGUGUGUAGAUAAUAAUGUUGAAUGCUAAAAUUAAUGGACUGCUGCCCCUAAGCCAGAUGCGUGAGAAUAUCCAAUUUCUCAUUUAAUUCUCAAAACCUCCCUUGGAAAUUGUUAGGGACUGCCAUCUUUUUCUUUGCCCUCAUCUUAUUGGGUGGCCCAGGAAGGAUGGUUGCUGCUGUUGUUCUACCUGCAUUCUUGGCUGUUCCUCCUACUUAGAGCUAGAGCAGCUUUGGAGCCAGCGGCUCUCCUCCUUCUUGGUGUCCUCUGGUGCAUGGUAGGUGCAGAGUGG
rnacentral:lncRNA from 1 species